rnacentral:ncRNA from 23 species
CGCGGCAAGACGUUCCGCGCUAUAACGAAAAAGGGGGUUCUGUCACUGGCUUUGCCCUCGUGAUAGAGGGCUUUUUAUGACGG